CACUACCUCUUCACACACACACUCAUACUGCAUACCAGCACACCACGUGGCAGCCACGAGGCAGAGACUCCAUCACACUGCUCAGUGGUGAACACCAGUGGUGGAGAUGCUUGAGCUGGGGCCAAGGGAUGGGAAGAAAGUAGAAGCAAAAGAAGGGGAGGAAAAGCAGAAGGCAAGAGAUGGGAGUGGAAGCAGAAGCAGAUCAGUAAUAACAGGAAGCCAGCCAGGACUCUGCCCCUCCAGCUCGAAGGUGCUGAUCACCAAAGCCAGCGUGGAACCCUUAAACUGCACUAGUUGGUGGCAGGCCAUAGAGUGCUGCAGCUGUUUGGUCAAGAAUGCGACCUGGCGAGAAGGAUUCCUCUGAGGCAGCCCUCUGGGCUCAGUUGGACAUCACCAUGGCAUGGAACUGGAGAGAAGAUAAAGUAGAGAGAGAUAGCUAUAAAUACAUAUAUAUAUAUAAAGAAGCAGAGGUCAGUCAACUUUGUCUGUUUUCCUAUGUUCUCAACCAGAAGUGCAGACUAAUCCAAUCUCCUCUCAGAGACCCUAAAGGGUUUCCUCCCUUCUCCCUUUUUGCUUUGUGCUUUGUGUUUGUGCUUGCCAAGCACUCAGCUGGUUUGGGUUGGGGCUUUUGGUUUUGGUGGGGAUGGGUGGUUGGGUUCUUUUUUGAGCUGAUGAAUGUACAAGGUCUGUGUUUCCUGACAACUUCUGCAGUUUCUACGUUCCCCAGGUUGCUGUCCAGGAGAAGACACUUCUGGCCAGCAGGGAUGAGUAGAGGAAAACCAGGAGUAAGGACUGCACUCUGCAUUUCCUGAGGAAACAAGCACCUAAGCCAGGCAGUUGUCACAAUCAGCAGCCUAAGCUGGCCAAAUGUUUGCACAUAACCUUAAUAAAAAGGGCCCCCAGGAUGGAUGCCUUUUGCCUUACCAGCA